rnacentral:rRNA from 1 species
UUAGAUACCCUAUUAUAAAAUUAAUAAUGUUAAAGAGUAUAAUGAAAUUUAAAAAUUAUGGCGGUUAAUUAUUAAACUAGAGGAGCUUGUUUAUUUUAAUUAAGAAUUUACUCUUUAUAUUUUAUUGAAAAAUAAAGUUUAUUCAUCUCCGUUAUUAGAAUUAAAAUUAAUAAAAAAUUUUUUUUUGUAUUUCAGGUCAAGAUGUAGCAUUUUUUAAUAUAGGUUAGCUACAAUUUAUAAUAAGAUUAAUGGAUAAAUUUUUUGAGAAAUGCAAAUUUAGAAAUUGAAUUUAAUUGUAAUAAUUAAUUAGGAUAUUAUUAUGAACUUAUGUAAUUAGUGUACAUAUUGCCCGUCACUUCUAUUUAUUAAAAAUUGGAUAAGUCGUAACAAAGUA